rnacentral:rRNA from 1 species
AUUGAACGCUGGCGGCAGGCCUAACACAUGCAAGUCGAACGGAGUGGCGGACGGGUGAGUAAUGCCUAGGAAUCUGCCUGGUAGUGGGGGAUAACGUCCGGAAACGGGCGCUAAUACCGCAUACUAUCAGAUGAGCCUAGGUGGGAUUAGCUGGGUGGUGGGGUAAAGGCCUACCAAGGCGACGAUCCGUAACUGGUCUGAGAGGAUGAUCAGUCACACUGGAACUGAUACACGGUCCAGACUCCUACGGGAGGCAGCAGUGGGGAAUAUUGGACAAGGGUCGAAAGCCUGAUCCAGCCAUGCCGCGUGUAUGAAGAGGGCCUUCGGGUUGUAAAGUACUUUCAGCGGGGAGGCGUUACCCGCAGAAGAAGCACCGGCUAACUCCGUGCCAGCAGCCGCGGUAAUAC